CUGGCUUCAAACAACAAAGAGCUUCCCCUAGAAUUAUCGUAGAUAUUUUCUUUUGCAAUUUCUUGCUUGAAAGUUCGGUAUGUUCCCAGUGCUGAUUUCGUCUGCAUCCCUGUUUUCCACAGCCCCCUCUCUGUUUCCUUAACAUUUUUCUUAACCGCUGUUUCCUGGUUUGCACCAGGAUGGCCACCGCACAGGCGGUGCGCCGUCUAGCGGGCGCCCUUUGAAUUAUAGCACAGCUGCGCCUCUAGCGGGAGCAAUGAGAACUAGUGUACACGGCGCAAGGGACCGAGCCCCGUCUAGAGGAGCUUCGCCCCUAAAAAAGGGGAGGCAGACUGGUCGCUGAACAGGCGAGCGCUCGCGCGUGCGCAGCCGUCUUCACUCGUUUUGGUGGCGUCUGGCUCAUGACACAUGCAUCAUUGGCCUGUCGCUAGGUAAAGCAAGAAAAAUAAGUCGCGAAGUAUAAGUUCAUUUAUAUGCAAAACUUUACUUUUCACGGCAAAGAAUUGAAAAAAUAAAACCUAAUUUCACUUUUUUUUUUGUAUGCUUGCGGAAGCUAUCGGAUGGCAUCAAUACUAGCGUGACGCGUUUGAGAGAAUCGUAAGUAGGUAACGUAAAGUUGUUACUGGUGCUUUGGCGCUGAUGUUGGAUUGCGUCGAGGUACUAGUUGAAGGUCUUGCUUCCAUCGCUUAUCAAGAGAGAGAGAUUAUAGUUGGAAAGGGUGAAAGAUUGGGUUAAAGUGCAGCGCGAUAACUGUCUCUCAAUAGAAGACACCUCAACCGCGCUGCACAGGGGGAUGGGGAGUGAAAGGAAAGAGAAGGGAAAGAGGUCGCAGGCGCAGGAGCGGAAGCCGCAGCAGCAUCAUCUAAGGCGCAGGCACGUGGGGUUUACGUCGCACACUGUCGGAAACGAGAACAGGUCGUAAGGAAAAAAAAAAAGUAACAACAACACCAACAACAAUAAAAACAAUAACAACAACAAACAAACAGAGAGACACCCGCCAGACCCCAACGCCAACACAGCACCCGGGCGGCCCCGAAAGAGCCGCCGGGAGCCCACACGGGAGGCCUACAGGCGGUCGACCAAACCCACGUCGUCGGCAAAGUUCAGCAGUGCGUGGAAGAGUUUGCCGUGGCUCGAUGUGUAGCCCGAGGGGUGCAAGACGUCCUCCACCGUCACUGUGACCGCCGACGAACGCAAGAGAAGAGAGUGGAGCCCGCGCCAACCCACUUUAUAUUCCUAGCGCGCGCAUUAGAGGGAGAGGGGGUGGAGAGAGGGCGCGCUAUCACGCCAGCACCUGCUGUUGCUACGGUGCUUGCAGCGCCGGAGCGCGACUCAACUACGACGCUUCGCGCGCUGCACAUGUGCUGCAAGCGUGAUGCGGGAGAGGAGUGGGGGAGAGGACACACCUGUGCUCGAGCUGUUGCGGACGGACGGCGCACGCUACAUGUGAGUUAAAGAAAUGCUCUGCAUUUAAAAUAUUUCACCAACAUACAGUACCGACAGAUUUUUUGGGCUCCAAAGGUUCGGACUUGAUGGAUAUUCCGGACUUCAUAAGUGCACUGUCAGGGUUCCCAUAGAGCUAAUGCAUUUUCGCGAUUGAUUUUUGGGACUAAUUUAGGGCCCAAAGUUCUAUUUUCUGGACUAAAUCGCUCAUUCCAAGCCACGCUACCCGAUCAUGGAGGCUGCCAUGUUCAAUUUUCCACUAGCUUGGCCAGGCUUGACUUUCGAUGGCCCGCUCUGUAGCCUCCAAGAUUGGGAGGCCAUGCUUUCAAUGCAUGGUUUUCACGUGACGUCACACCGUCUGCUAAUAUUCAUCCGGCAUGCAUGUUGGAUCAUUGCAACCAGUGUGCACCACUGUUGGAACACCGUAUCUGCUGUCUUUCGGUGUUGAAUUUGCAAUUUGCAAGCUAUCGCGUAAUAAAUGACGCCGCUGGCCAGCCAGAAGGAAUUCUGUCCGUCAUUUUUUGCCGGGCUUGUUGGUCUGACGCGUGCUCGCUACGAAGCAAAAGUCAACAUGUUCAAUGGCAUUGAUCUGUGCACGUUGUGCACCGGGCCCAACAUGAUGACGGACGUCAACCUGCUACCAAUUCCGACGCAUGCUGACAUUGUAAAAUAUUUGGUGCUGUCGAACCACGUAUCGCUUACUGAAGGGAAAGCGUACAGGUCCCUUGAAGCUCACAACUCUGCUUCAACAUGACAAGUAUACCACAGUUCUAUGUCAUGUGUUUGUUACUGCAUCUGCCACCCUACCCGUCAGAAAUAAAUAUAGGUUAUGAAAUCCUGAGGGCGGAUACCAAUCAAAUAUUUUGCUGUAUUGUGACCAAGUCAUUACGUAGCUCUAGGGAACAUGGCCGCUCAAUUUUAAUCUCAAUACGGUCAAUAAUCAUGGCAGUCUUAACGCCUAACGAGUCUACAGAAGCUUGUGGCAUGGUCUUUUAAAUACAAUUCCUGAACAGCCAAAAAUCUGAGACUUCUGACUCUAAAAGGCAGCAUUUAACCACUUUUCUAAAAUUUGGCUUGAUGCAGCGAACCUGUAACCGAGGUCUUGCAGCGAAAAAUUCAACUUUAGUUCUAUUAGGAACACAACUCCUGCAAUUUGCUGAGGCCAUUUUGCUGUUUGUGCUUCACAACAGACUCAACAAUCUGAAGAACGGCAAAGAGCCUAGUAAAACUAUACAAGCCAGUGCAGAAGACAACUUUGCCAGGGUCAUCUGAGUGAAGCCUCUGUCACGUUAAGUUUCUUUUUUUUUUUUUUUUUUUUUUGUUCCUUGACCCCCUGCAGCUCGAAUGCAAGCCUCCUCCUGUCCUCCUCCUAAGUGCUAACGUAAGCCAUGGCGACUUCAGUUUGCACAGCAGCUUCUGUAAAAACAAAACCAAUUUGGGGGCAUGAAAAUACAGCUAACAUUUUUGUGUCACAGUGCAUUUUGAUGCCUUGUAUAGUCCUCAUCUGCAUGGGCCAAAACUGUUGGCCUGCAGUAUUCUGAAAUAAAUAAAAGAAGUGCUGCUAUUUACUGGAUUGAAGAGUUAGUUUGUGAGGAAACAUGUAACUGAAGUGGUCUCGCUGGAACAUUCAGCAGGUGUCUCUUGCUUGAGUGGUCAUUUGCAUCGAACAUUUCAGGCAAAGGGUGGUCAGCCUCUGCUGGCUAAGUGGUCACUGCUGGGGCCACCGCUUAUUUCACCGGCUGAUCCUUGGCGCGCUUGUACCAAGCUGUAGACUUAAUGCCCAGUCCUGCACCAUUGCUGUGCUCUAAGAGCCGGCUCGGCGCCCAGUUUGGGUUGGGGUCAAUCAUUAGACUCGCUGGCUUCCCUGCAAAUGACAAAACAUCGGCACACUUGCCGCAAGCGAGCUGCAGUCUCUCGGAUAUGGUAAAACCUGCUGCUCCGCUGUGUCUGAAAUCGUAACUGUCUUGUUACAAGUUGCCAUGAACAGCGUAAAAUUACAGACAGCACUCACAAUCACGAUCUAGCCCAAUACAGAUAAUUUUUCUAUUGCAGUCUAGUAUGAUGGCUGCGACACAUGGUACAAACAAUUCACGUCGAGCUGGUUAAACUCGGUAUGAUGGUACAGACAAUAAAUAACCUCCUAGCGCAAUCGCGAUGCGUGGAUCACAAUCGACGGUGUUUGUGCAGCAGCAGCCAAUCUGGAACGGGCUCGAAUGCGACCCGAAGCGCUCCCGUGUGAGGGUUAAAUCACCAACGACUGUAAACACAGCGACGAGUGCGUUUGCAGGCGAUUGUAAGCGCUGUCUAACUUUUUUUAGUAUUGACUUAAUCCUGUGUUGGCUUACCUGAAAUGAAAUGGCGACUGCACACACGGACCUUUCUGCUGGUGAGUGCGUAACAAUCGCGUGAUAAUGGUGCACACUCGCUCCUAAAAUAUGAGGGUGCUCGUGCAUUCUCGCAGUCUAAAUCUUGUACCCCCGAUCGAGGUACUCUGUUCAAAGUUUGUUGACUACGUUCGAAGCUAAGCCGUGUGGUCCUAGUGCCUCAAGCUUGUGUGUACACAAAAAAUUGGGUAUGGCAUCCUCUAGCACUCCGAGUUUAUACCCCAUUUUGUCACCUUUUCUCGGAUGUAUUGUAUUAUUCCCGAUCAGGCUGUAGCCUUUACCAUACAUUCGUCAAUGGAGAGAUUGCACUGUGGUCACUGCCACCAUCACCGUGCAUUGUUGCUUUUCUGCACCUGACGUAUGAAUGGGGACAUUCGGGGCACCCUUAUGCUUGACUGUCGUGCUUCGGGGCAUGUUGACGUUCAGCGGAGUUUGGUCAGCAUUCCUGAUUCGUAGCAAGAGGAAGCCCUUUUCCUCACAGAUCCUCGUGACGAAGCAGUGAAAGUUUAUCACUUCAUAGGCAAACUGUAGCCACUGGCACGACGACGUCUGCCAUCUCAGUGAUAGUUAAUUCUGUCGCAUGAAGCACGUUGUCCAUCCAGAGCUUGCGCAGAAGUUUUUCACCAAGAUUCCCUGCUUCCUCACAAUUGUGAGUGCCUGAUUUCUUAUCAUUUCCAGUGGUACAGCACAUCCUUCCUUGAGGAGUUCCCUUAUGUAUUGAGGGACCUCCUUAACUUAUGGAAACCUGGCAGUCUUCUCUUCUUUGAAAGCCUGGCAUGCCUUGUUUGUUCUGCUUGUUUGUCGUGCUGACCUCUCCAGUACAGGACACAAAUCUCGUCAAUGCUGAAGUGACCACCAGCAGUACGUUUGCCAUGCCCGAAGGGCGUAGGUACUCGGCAGCUUUCAACUUGAAGGCAGCUGUGUAACUUGCAUACUGCCCCAUGGCGAAACGACACGAAGGCUGACAAAACAUGGACAAAGUGCAGGUCGCACUGGCUGCCUUGCAAAAUGGCAAACAUGGGGCGUCGUCAGUGCCGUUGCUGGCAUGCAGGUGCCCUCAGUGCUGUGAGCCGACAUGUAAAAAGAAUGCUUACAUGUAAGAAAUCACUAGGAAGUAUACUUUUACUCAGUGAACUUUUUUUUAACCCAAAACACAAAUCCUGAACGCAUGUUCAGGUUUAACACCAACACCUGUCUCACAUCUGUCUUCCAGCAGGCGAGUUAUGGAUGCUGCGGUGUGUACUGGGCUACGGUUGUGUUGGAAGAAAAAUAAGCCGUCCUUAAAUGGGCCAUCCAGGGCGUAUGGUAUAAGGACUGUGUCCAGCAGGUCUAUGUAUGCUGCGUCAGUUAAGCGGCUGUUCAGGCGUACAAGGGGGCCCAAGCUGUCUUUGGAAAUGGAACCCCACACGUUGACGCUACAUUGGCCACUGCUUGCAACACGAUGCAGAUUGGGCACGUUGAACCUGGGCGAAGGAAGUGGGAAGAACACAGACAUUAUUUUACGUCACUGCGAUAACCACGAUGGUAGCGGGCCCUGGUCUUGACUGUUGGCAGAAUGCACUGCUUUUGGUAACCAUUUCUACGAGCUGCUUGUGUCCAACGCACAUAACAAGGCACUGGUUAAAUGUUUUUCGGCGUGUGCUCUCUCCUCGCGGUAGUGGAGUGCACGGAAUAUAAAUCAUUGUUUUUGAUGAAAACGCAUGCCUAGCCACCACAUACAUUUGCCCAUUCUAUCAUCUCUACAGGAAUGCAAAGAAAGCUAAAUGUUGUUGGUUAUUUUAUAGAAGCUGUGUAAAGCCCGCUUAGUGAAGCAGUCCAUCUACCGUGUGCUUUGUCCUCCACGUUUGCUGCUGCUGGUCCCAUUUUGAUGUAAACGUGCCCUCAUUAGUAAAAAUGACAUUCUGCCACUCUUUCACCGUCCAGAGGCCGUAUUCUGUAAAGCUUUCGUUUUUGAAGAAUUGGGGUGGAUCGACCGUUGACGUAAUGCAAAUGAAUGGAAGGACGGAGGCCAAUCAGGGGGGCGCGCAGGUUUUUUUUUUUGUGGAAGUGAACGUUACAAAAUUACGAACGCUUCUUGGUAAAUAAAAAAUGAUUAGUUCAUGGUAUUCAUGAGGUUUAUAUUUUUCAUUAUGAAAUGUGUGUGCGUUGUACUGGCGGUGAGUGACUGGGCGAAUUUUGUUUACUUCGGUUGACCCAUUUAUGCAGCUAGGUGGGACGUUGUACGCUAACUUGGCCUUCCGCUGCUCCCAGAAGUUCCUCGCACAGGCGGAGCACUCUCUCUUUUGAGAGUCUGAAUUAUUGCCUGAAUUCCUCGUCAGUCAUCUCAAAGGCGUCUUGUCAAUGUCUAUUUCGUCGCUGUGACUCGCUAAAAGCACGAGAACAGGUACCGCACACAUCGCCAUUUUGCUCUUAGUGCCGCGAUCUCGCCCGUGCACAUGGCACAUCGUGCUUCGAAUCAGACCAAAGCAGCGCACGCGGUUUCACUUCGUAGCAGACGUCAAAUUUGGUUUCCACGUGAUUGCCAUGUGCGUGACAUCAUCAAAAAAUGUGUUCGCGCCCUGAGAAGUCACCCAGGCGGCGACCAAUCGCAGAACGCUAAUCAAAUUCUUCUAAAAUGGAAGCGUUACAGAAUAUGGCCCCAGGACCAAUGCUCCUGGACAGCAGCCUUUUGAUCCUGUUUUUUGACAAGACGAAAGGCUUCGUCACCGCCACACAGCUACGAAGGCCAUUCAUGUGAAGGCGCUCGCGUACUACUUGUGUGCUGGCUGCGAGCCCAAGGUCGUUCCGUAUUUUUCACCAUCAUCUUCGGGUUUCGUCUCGCUCAUCCUCAGAGUCUGUCGUCAUCUUCAGUCGGUGUCUUCGGGGCAGAUUUGUCAAGCGAGCUUCCGUGCUGAAAGCCUGCACGGUACUGUUCAUUGACGAGCAGGGGCGUCUGGUCAUAUCGACAAUAUUUUGCUGUGGUAAACCUGCUGCAGACAGUCGCAAUCUGCAUACUUUCCGAGAUGGGUAUUCCUGGCAUUGCCGCUCGUGACUGAAACGGAGGCAUGUCUUGUAUUCACCAUAUAUAACUAUCUGUGGCUCAGCUUCUGCUGACGUCAGUACGACCAACAAUGCCGGGAGUUAUCAAAAUAAAGAAGGCCCUUUCUCGUCGGCCACUCCACAGGUGCUCGCACGGAAUAAACUUUCUAUUCUUUUGUGCAGAUGUUUAUCAUGUCUAAUAACACACGUAAGGCACAAUCUCGUAGCUGUAUCCUGUCUCCUACUUAAACAGCUUGCAGGCCGCAUCGCCAAAGCGCUUGUAACGAGUGUCGUCUGCUCGUACAGGUGCGAAGCAGUUUUUGCUGAAGUGUAGAAGUUAUCCAUGUAAACAUGUACCUUUGAUCAAGUAGUACCUGUGCAAAGGCUAAGCCAUGUGGUCCUGGUGUAUCCAGUUCUUGAAUCUGCCAGCACCCAGAGUUUAUAUCCAAAUUUCGUCACCUUGUCUCGGAUGUAUUGCCAUAUUCCUGAUCGGACUUUAGAUUUUACCGUGCAUUCAUCAAUAGGGAGGUUGCGCUGUGGUUGGAACAAAUGUACGCAUUCUUGAUUUAUGUGGUUCAGAAGCCAGGAUACAUACCCUCGAAGUAAUUGCCAACAGAUACCGCAGCUGCAAACUCUUCCGGAUCCCCUACACUUGAGAACGACAGCAGCGUGAGGAAAUGGUCCCUCAGUGUAAUAUUUCGUGGGAGAAGGCCACUGAAUAUUUCCAUGGUUUGCCAAUCGCGGCACUUUGACGACUCCCAUGUAGAUGGCGAUUCCAAUAAAUCUCAGCAUCUCCAGUGGAGUGACUUCCUCUCGGGAGCCGUCAUGUCGAGAGUAUGUCUGUCAAUCCAAAAUGCGCAUACGGGCGUAUUUAUUUGUGUUCUUGCACAGUCUCUAUCACCUUGGUAGUAAAAAACAAAAGAAAAAAAAAUUCUGCAGUCUUGAGAAUCGACGCAUGUCGCUCUGCAGCACUGCUUCGGCGCAGUGUAUUUGGCAAUAUACCCUGGUCGUACGUUGCUGGGACCCUAAACGCAAAAAUGAAACUGCAGUCAAAUAUGAAGCACAUUUUUGUAUAAAUGCAUGAAGUCAUAAACUAGAAUCGCCUGUGAGCAUCUGUUGACGUCCAAGGCACCUGAGCUGAAGUAUCUUCAUUGGAACUAGUAAAAUCUGAUGAUCCCACAUCGUUACUUGAGCCAUCACUACUGCUUGGGUCAUAAACUUCGCUACGUAAACUUUGCUACAGUGUACUUUGCUACGCCUCCUUGUGUCGUGGGCUUUUCUAAAGCAUAAUCUAAUUUAAGCAAUAAAUGUUAUCAGGUGUAAAAAAAAACUAGAUCUGGUCACCAGCACAGAAGGAGUUAAGCAUUGCAUUUGGGCAUUUACGCGAGUCCUUUAUUUGCUUUUUGGACAUUGCUUGACACAGAUUGAUUUUUGUCUUAAAUAGAGGGUCUCAGCUCAUGCUGUACACCAAGACUGCAGGAGGAUGUUAAUUGACCUCCCAGUAAACGAUGUGUGUAUCUACGUUUAGCUGUUAGUAUGAGGUGAGACAGUGCAGCAAAGUAAACCCUGAGGAACUUCCUUAGCUUUGCUGUAUUCUGUGAAUGAAUAUUUUGAAGGGUGCGUCUGCUUACCAGUAUGCCUGAAUUUAGGGCGUUGCACUCUUGGUGUUUGUUUUGUGUGCACACUUGGUGAGCUGCACCUAGCUUUAGAGUUCCUAUAACACCGAACAGUGAUUUUACAUGUCUGUGUCACUUAAUGUACUAGAUUGGGGCUGCAGCUUUGAGGCUAGCUUCAGCCUGGGGCAUACCUGUAGCAUAAUGCUGCUAGUGUAGUCCCAACACUACGAAUAGAGGCGACAUUUGCACUUUCUGUAAUGCCAUUUUAGAUACAGAACUCACCUGUUUCAUCGAGCGAAGUUCAGUAAUAUGCAAUUGUGGCAAUGCUGGAUUGCAGAAGUCUAUUUUUCAGUGAAAGGAAUGACGGGCCCUUUUGCCGUGUUUGCAAUGGCCUUCGCAACAAAAGGAUGGCACGCUGUGUCGUUUCACCUUCCUGGCAUCAGAUGGCACCACCGUUUAUUUGACUGAGCAAAAUCUGCAUUUGUAAUUCACUUCUGCAGGCAGUGCAUGCUUUUGAUUCAUUUUGUGCCAAAGAGGCAGCCACUGCAUGCAACUAAGCACAGUAUUGAACAAAUUUCACUGCAGAAGACGCUGCUCAAAGAACCAAAUGAACCAGCUUUGUUAUAAGAGCCAUUUAUACUGGUCUUUUGCAUUGGUGUAACAUUUCCCUAGGCCUCUGCUGUGGUGGCUUUGUGGAUAUUGAUCCCCUGCCAUGUCAGCUGUGCUCCGAUAGGGGCCCGCACAAAUGCUGGUGUGCUAUAAUUUGUGCUCGCAUCAUAGAAACCUCUUAAUAUUCUACAUUAAUUCCCCCUCUCCUGCUACUCUUUCUCAACCUGCGAGUAGCUUUUAGAUGUAAAAAAAAAAAUACCAUAAUUGGCACUGUGGUGUUUGAGCUGCACAGCGCGAUAGCUGGAGAAUUCCGUUAGUGUACUUCAUAGCCGAAAACGUGAUUACAGUUGUACUUCUUUGCGUCCAAUUUUUGUUAUGGGUAUGCCUCGGGCUGUCAUCGCAGCUUGCCGAGCGUCAUUGCAGCUCUGAUCUAUUUGUCUCGAGUUGUCUUUUGUUUUUUGUCCGACCGUGUUUUUGCGUGUGUGUGCCAGUCACUUGUGAUAUACUGCCUGUGGCAGUUGUUUGAACCUUCACCGAAUGAAGGUCAACAAGGUACCUGAGAAAUACUCACUUAUUUUCCUCACUUCAGGGAUGUGCCAUUUGUGCCACCUGUACAUUUUUUCUUCGCUGUACUGUGAUAUUUUUGCGCACUGAUGCACAUGUGCAUUGGUGUCUUCUUUCAGUUUUUUUACUAUGUCUUUCUGAUAGUUGCCAAAUAUACCUACUGAGAAAAAUGUCCCGAGGCACAUGUUAAUGAUGCAGUGACUCGUGGGCUAAAGGUUUACUCGAUUUAUGUUGCCUUGGUCAUCUGUACAUUCUCUGGAUAUUGAGUCCGCGUUCGUGCUUAUUAAAGCAUUAAAUACUACUGCCAGCAAUGUUAAUUGUUUUUUUACCAGUAGAGCAGAGCAUGUUUCAUGACAACUGGCAGUUUGUUUGUUGCAACAUUUGCGGACUAGAUCUGGUUGUGCAUGACUGCAUAUUGGCAACUUCUGGCAGCUUACAAAAGCUGGGAUUGGAAAUUAAACUAAGUACAUUAUCCCUUGCUUACAUUCAGAUAGCUUUGUUACUGUUGGCACUAGCCUCAUAAAAAAAAGUUACAGUAAAAUAGCUAGCCCAGUGUUAUGCAGGUGCUCUGAGGCAAAAAAAAAAAAAAAAUUUCUCAUGUUUCUCUAUGCCGGUGAUAUAUUUGUUGCGCAUACUUUUUUUUUUUUUACCUUUUCUAUUGUACUGCUAUCCUGAAUUUCUGGAUGCAAUGUUUGUCUCUUGGACCAUUGCGUAUUUUGUUUUAGUUUCAAUAAAGACCUGUCUUUGAUGAAUCAGUGGCAGCUUGUCACUUUUUACUCUUGAGGGGAUGGCUUGGAGCAUGCCGUGCUGUUACUCUACAAUAAACGGGAUUUGUCCUGAAAAAGGGCUUGAGGGUUUGCAAUACCAUUCUGAACCAAUGCUUAGAGCUAAAAUAGAUGGAGAAGCAUUCUUUCUUCCCCCUCUUUAGAACAUUCAUGUCCUCAUUCAGCUACUCGGCUGAAUAUGAAGCAUGUUGCCAACAUGCUGUUAUCAUGUUGUGCCUUAAAUGAUUGUGAUUGUUAGUGGCAGAGCCAUUGCCCUGGUGAAACGAGUUUAUAAGUGGUGUAAAGGACACUGCAGACUGAUGAAAUUGCUGUACCACAGGCACUCCAUCAGGUGCAGGUAGCGAACUAGCAAACUUGAGGCAAACUCAUGACAAUGCCUUCACCCGCUUAGUUCUGUGGCAUUCGCUGUUGGGUGACUCUAGGGCGUAGUACAUUAGCCCUCUCCAGUUGUGGCUGUUGAUCACUGUCAUGUGAUAAACAUGAAAAAAAGUAAGAUUUUAACGUAUAUGACAUUGUUGCACGCAACUUGAGAAUGUCACCAGUCAAACUUGAGCAGGGGACAGUAAUAAGCUUCAACUGAAGUCUUUUGCUACUUUAAAGGGCCCCUUGCCCAGCCAGUUUGGCCAUUGCGAACAGAUGAGCAUGGUGUGCAAGUCGCACAGUGGCAAUCGUGUCUGCAAAGUGUUAAGCGGCAGCACAGCGUGAAAACAAAUGCAAUUUUAAACAGAAGCCUGUCCGUCCUUCCUGUUAAGGGAGUCCCAUUUGCAGCCAAUGUCAUAGUCACAAACACAAUUUUCUCUACGUAAGCGUCGCUGCCUUCAACGUGACUGGUUGUUGCACGGGAUCUGAGUAAAUCGUCUUAUGCAAAAUGCACAUUGCCGCUCAUUUUGCCGAGCAAAAAGAGAAAGAAAAGGAAAAGGUGGGGCUUGCAAUGUAAACGUGGCAUUGUCCCUCCUGUAUGGGAGAAGGCAGGGAAGAAUAUUCGCUUGCUGACAUUAUUCAGGGCAGAAGGAUAGCGUGUCUACGUUGGCAAUGAAGCUUGCCUGCCAGCAGCAUGGCAAUGCAACAUUGAUUUCUCCCAUCUCCUUUAACAAUGGACUAAUUUGAAAUAUUCUUGCGUUAAAACGGUUCCUAGACGGUGCCCUACAACUUCCAGUGUAGAACAAAAAUUUACAACGAGGUGACUCCGAAUUUUUAAAGUUGCACGUAGUGGCGUGGGACAACUGAUUCGUGGACAACUGCUUCACGAAUCGUACCUGCCAGUUGCACUCUGGUUGUUCCAAUAGGAUUUUGCCCAUUUCAAGAUUACACUGAAGGCUUGCACACACUAGCUGUGCACAAUAACGGCACGAUGUAAACAGCACAGUAACAGCAGUUACUGUGCUGUUGGCUGCCGUUACUAACUGCAGCCAUAGUUUGGCAACACUCAUACUAGGUGAUGGUUGGAUUUCAAUGGGUGCUUUCAAAAAGGGGCAAGUUUCGCACUUUGGGUCGUGUUAAAAAAAAGCCUCAGUUGGCCAGAGGUAACUGAGAGCCCUUCACCUGAACUUAUCUCAUGGUGGCAUUUUCACUCGCAUCCACUCACACACGUGGCUCUUUAAUGCACACAAGUGAGUGUGUUCAGCCAUUCUUUUUGCUAGUCAUUCACGACGGCCAAUUACUUCGUCACUCACACUUGUGGCAUUCCAUCACUAAAGCUUGUGUCUGCACUUGACAGUGUUCACUCCUCGGAUUUUCGUUAAUUGAUCUAGAGCUUGGUGAACUGAAACAUAAAUAUGUACAGCAAAGGUGCUUUAUUAUUGCUCACACUGGCUCCUCGCACAAAUUACUUUACUGAGCUUUGUGUUUGGCAUUGCAUUGACGAAAACUUGACACUGCGGUAAACAAUGAAAGCCAGAAUGGGCUUACGCAUCUUUGCCUGUACACCUGCCGUGAUGGCUAACACAUUUUGCUGCUGAGAGUGAGGUCAUGGACCCAGUUGGCAUCUGCGGUAGCCACAUUUCAGUGGUGGCAGGAUGCAAUAGUGGUUGUGCACCUAAAUCUCGUGGUGGAUAUUUGUGGCAGAAAUAAGUUCUUCUGUAUCUCAAACAUUAAUUCACAUUUAAGUUGUUGCAAAAGCACUUGGAACAGAGUGAAAUUUCCGUUCACUUAGUGGAGCGUGUACGCUGCACAAUAGGCCUUGGUAAAUGCACUGAAUGCAUUUCAUCUGGGCAAUAUAAAGAAGCAUGCAGGAAGACUUGCCAGUGCUGUGAAUGCUGCACAUUUAAUGGGUCAACUCGAGCCUGUUUAGUACAGCUUCUCUACAUAGGUAAAAAGCAACACGAACAAAGGGACUAGAAAGAUUAGACAGGACCGAGUACCAAUGAAGUGUUAUUACUGAACCACAAUUUCAUACACUGAGAUGGGGGGAAAGAAUCACAUCACACAGUCUAAAACAAACUUUGCCUGUGUCAAGGCCUUGCAGAUGUAACAAACAUUACAAAAUGUUAGACUGGCCAGACAUUCGAUGUAUAUUGUAUCAAUUGUGCGUGUUGCCAUGGGCUCUUCAAAACAAAGUGGCACCUACCCACCUAGCAUUUGUUCAGGAUGGUAUGGCAAGACCUAAAUAGGGGUGCGCACGAAAUGCGGUAGGGGUAGCCUUGAGUGGUGGCGGAGGCAUGAAAUGUGUGUCACAGUUUGGAGCUGCACCAGUAUGCUCCGGAACUUUAUAUUUAAUUUCUCAAGGUAACAAACCUAGGUCUCAUGCAAACCUAGUGCUUCCGGGACCGUAUAUGCAAUGUAGCCUAAUGUUACAAGCAUUGCCGUGGCCGUUUUUGGGUGUUCGCUUUCUCACUCCCUGCACUUCGGAGACACUGUUAGCAUAAAUUAAAAUGCGAACCUAAAAACUUAUCUGUGAGCAUCACCUCCUAGAUGUGGUUUUCAGAGCUUGCAGUUUGGCAUGGCUGUGUAGCCUGUUGCCUGUAUUAACAAAGGUGCAUGCAAAUGUUGCUCUUUGUCUUCUCUUGAGUAGAGGGUGGCACUUGCGCUUGGCUGCAGUAGUCGCCACACAUUUUGGCACUCCUCAGUGGCAAUGAGUUGUUUGUCAGUGCUUUCAUAGGGAGGCUGAAAACCGCUGUUCGCAAGAUUGUGCUUCAGGAAUUGUUAGGGAACGUUGUCGUGUUGAGAUGGCUGCUUUUGCAUUGCCCUGCAUUUGGCAGGGUCAAGUUCGGACACCCUUGUGAAUCUGGCCAUAAAUCAUUGUGAAUUCAAAACAAAGACAGGCUCUGGUUUGAGGUUCGCAUUUCAAUUUACGACGACAGUACAGCUGGCCACAACAGUUUUUGGCAGCGGGAAGCUGAAAUCUUUUGCAGCCUGAGUUGCUGUCCUUGAAGUGGGAACUGCACUCGGCAGUUCGUUCAAGGCAAAAUGCUUGUCAGUGAAGUGCUGCAGCAGAAGUGUAGCAGCACAAGCUUCUUUGCUUUCCUCAUCUGCUCCAAAUUUUGCGUUAAUUUAUGCCUAAAAAAAUACUGAAAUCUUUGUGCUGAUUUUAGCAUUUAUGCAGGAUUAUUUAUUACACAAAGGUUUGUGAACAGCCUUUGUGUGGUAUUUGAAACUGGGGUGUGUAACAGCUCUUCGGGUAGCACUGGUGAAAUCAAACAGCUCAAAUCUAUUGUUGGGAUGACAUGGCAUGUUUGAUGUUGCCUGCGCUGAAGUUUUUGUCCAGUUUUAGCAAGGGGGCAGGGGGUCAUUUACAUUGUGCUAUUUUUACCCAUGUCACACGAGCACAGAAAAUGACAUCAACUUGCUGAUGCCUUAAGUUUCCAUGUCAUUUGCCUGACACCACAAAGACAAAGCUCUGUCAUUCGCCUUAAUGUCAUUUGUUACUUAAAUCAUUCGCCAGAACUCGUUCGACUGAGAAAUGCAUACUCUCAUCGCCAUAGCUUGCGCAUUGCAGUACAAUUCAAGCAUUUAAAACGGCCGCUAUCAAGUAAAAAAAAAAAAAAUCUUAUACGUAACUUUUAACGUGGAUGUUGUCGGGAGUUGUACUCGGCGAACUUCCACAAGUCUGCAUUGCUGUGGCUUUGAUACUGCAGGCGCCAUUUUGAUUUUGGGCUUCUAAUUGGACAUGCAGUGGGCCAAAGUUGCCAUGGUUGGUUGCAACGCUUUUAAAGACAGCAAUAAAAUCAAGCUAACAGCAUCAUUGUAUGCUUGUUUUUACAUUUCACUAUUUAUGAAGAGGGGUUAAACUUGUGAACACAUAUCUAUUUUUUAAUUACGACCCUAAAAUUUCUCACUUCGAAAGAUGCUGUCAAUAUUGUAACAGAUGUCUUUAAAUUUGGACUUAGCUGAAAAAUGUCAUUUGCUGUGCCCAUGUGGCAUGGGUAUUAGCCAGCUGCUUUAGAGACGUAAGAAUUUGUAGUCUAUUCAGUUUAACCAUCAUUAUCUGUGAAGUGAUAUUGUCAACUGUGGCUCGUGUACCAGUGAAAACAUUAUCUGUAGUUUGUGUUACAGCCUGUAAUUUGAUAUUACUUGCAGUUUUUGCCUUCCUUUUCUUUUUGCUUUUGAACAUUGUUAUCAGGUGGCGUUGCAUGUUCCUAGAUGUGGAAAGUUACUUUUCUGGUUGCUAACGCUAAAUCCUUAAUCUUCUAGGACAUGUCAGUGUCUUGUGGGCAUAUUACGCAAGUUUGUAUUGUCUGUAUUGACCUGUCAAUGAUGCUGCUUAUUGAUGAAUUUCUUUGCCGAAGCGCUCACAUGACUGUUUGAUUUGCAAAUUACUUUGUACGCUAUUUUGUGACCAUCCAUUGGUUCUGUUGUCAUUGCGAGAUCUGCUUCCCUACUUUGUGGGGAAGGACAAAAAUAAAGCCUAAGGUACGAAGGAGUAUGAAGUAGACUUUGUGAGUGCAGUUUUAUACCUUUUGAGGAAGUCAUUAACGUUCAAUAUUGACAUGCUGUUCUGUAAGCUUCUCUGUAGGUUUUUGCAAGCGUCACAGACCCUCACUUGUAAUCUCUCCGCUGUCAUUGCCACAAUGUGCGACCCUUGCCGUAUAUGCAGCUGUCGACAUACCUGUGCAACCAUUGCCGAAGCCUUCCACUCUGAAGAUGACCGACAUGCCAUGCAAAAUACCGUCCUAUAGCCAUCUUCACUGAAAUGCAGCUUUUUGACCAUCACCAUGUGCAUCUAUAGAGACUGCUCUCAAAUUCAACAGUGACCGGUUCAGGAGAACCACAGUGCGAGUGCGGAAAGUGUGUGCGCGUGUGCAUUUGUGUCGUACGGACUCGCCUGGACUGCACAGGACUGCCAAUGUGUUUAGCAAAUCUUGUAUGUGCGGCAUGUAGCCACGUUGCUUUGGAAUGCAAGUCAUGAAUUCAGUUCAAAGGACUUUCUUUUAUGCUGUUUCUUACGCUGUUUCGCUUAUUGCACUGUGUUUACAGAGUCGCUGUGAACCCGUUUGUUGAGCUGGUAUAACAGAGCAAUCUCAAUCAUUCGUCCACUAAUGAUUGCCAAACAGUUGAUCAAAUUUUUUAUGGCUUUGUUAUAACCUCGUACUUGAUGCCUGGAACUCAGAUAAUUUUCAGCUAUGAUAUCCAACCUAAUUUGGUAUAGUUAAGCAAGCGUGGGCUUCGAGUCUCAGUAUUAUUUCUUCAGUUCAAAUAAAAAGUUCAAGAAUGAUGUCGUCAACCUGUAUUUUCUAAUGAAUGAGGUUGCUCUCUAAAUAUGGCAAAACCACAGCCUGGGUUCAGCUCACAGUCAAGUGGUGCUUUUGACCGAAAUCAAAAGGUCUUGUAGGCUAAUGCAACAUUUCUUGCAUGACAGAAGAAGAAAAAAAAGCUUAGCCUUAAUAUUAUCACUACAUCUUGAUUGCAUCAGCUGAGCCAGGGUGGUGUUGCGAUGGUACUUGCGACAUUCCUUCCUUUUGACCGCUUCCAUCCAUGUACCGUUUUAUGAUCUGUCAUGGUGCUAAGCUCAAUUUCGAUUGACUUUUCGUACUUUGCAACAUGCAGUGGCGUGUUGAGAUGCGUGAACAAUGGCGUUUGUCGGUGCAGUUGGCGCAGAUUCUGUUUGUCUGUUUUGCCGGAAUGCUCUGAUGGUGUAUCGCUCACUGAUUCACUUGAAGUGGAUUUCAUUACUUGCCUCCCAGAGGGGAGCUGUACAUUUCCGAAACGCUGGUGCCCAAAUAAACACCCUUGUGUGACUUGA